CAUUCCUUCUCCAGUAUCCUGAAGUAGCUAUUGUAAUAGGCCUGGGCUGUGUAUACUACCACCUUCUCUCCCUGAGCUGCCCCACAGCUGUGCAGGAAAGGGUUUGGGGGUCAGGAGUCUUGCAGUCAGCUUGAUGGAUCUUAUCCCUGGUGGCCUCUCUGUGGCCUGGUGACACUGUGCAGAUCUGUGGUAGUUCUAUUCCCCUACAUUCUGCCUGUCUCCUCUAGCCAACAUACCUGGGUGUCGGUCUGUGCCAGCAAUUGAGUCACCAAUGUGAUUGCUGUUUGACUGGGUUGUUCCUGCAAGACCCUCCUCCAAGGUUCUUUCUGUACUAUUUUGUUUUCUUUCCUGUGGUCCAUGAUGAGAUAAGUCAUUCUGGCUCAGUGCUGCCACUCACCUGUCGUUUUCCUUAGGACUUGCAUCUUCCAAGACCCAUGAAAUAACCCAGCUGGAGUCAUGGGAGGAGCCCUUCAUGCCUGCUUGGGAAGUUGUGACUUCAGCCAUACUGAGAGGUAGUUGGCAAGGAGCCAAGGCUGA
rnacentral:lncRNA from 1 species